CCCUAAAUACUCUCUAGUGACCGAUAGUGAACCAGUACCGUGAGGGAAAGGUGAAAAGCACCCCGGGAGGGGAGUGAAAUAGAACCUGAAACCGUGUGCCUACAACAAGUUCGAGCCCGUUAAUGGGUGAGAGCGUGCCUUUUGUAGAAUGAACCGGCGAGUUACGAUAUGAUGCGAGGUUAAGUUGAAGAGACGGAGCCGUAGGGAAACCGAGUCUUAAUAGGGCGCCAUAGUAUCAUGUUGUAGACCCGAAACCAUGUGACCUACCCAUGAGCAGGUUGAAGGUGAGGUAAAACUCACUGGAGGACCGAACCAGGGCACGUUGAAAAGUGCUUGGAUGACUUGUGGGUAGCGGAGAAAUUCCAAACGAACUUGGAGAUAGCUGGUUCUCUCCGAAAUAGCUUUAGGGCUAGCGUCGAUGUUAAGUCUCUUGGAGGUAGAGCACUGUUUGGGUGAGGGGUCCAUCCCGGAUUACCAAUCUCAGAUAAACUCCGAAUGCCAACGAGAUAUAAUCGGCAGUCAGACUGCGAGUGCUAAGAUCCGUAGUCGAAAGGGAAACAGCCCAGACCACCAGCUAAGGUCCCAAAAUAUAUGUUAAGUGGAAAAGGAUGUGGGGUUGCACAGACAACUAGGAUGUUAGCUUAGAAGCAGCUAUUCAUUCAAAGAG
rnacentral:rRNA from 1 species